rnacentral:sRNA from 1 species
CCCUAGCCCUGAUGGAAAUGGAAAGCCUCGAUGGAAUAAACCUAUUUUUUCCUGUUGCGGCAGAGCGACCAGCGGAAGCUCCUGCCGUAACAAUAGAAAAAAAGGUUUAUGACGGAGAGCUUGUAAUGUACAGCAGGAGACUGC